rnacentral:rRNA from 1 species
GACGAACGCUGGCGGCGUGCUUAACACAUGCAAGUCGAACGGAAAGGCCCUGCUUUUGUGGGGUGCUCGAGUGGCGAACGGGUGAGUAACACGUGAGUAACCUGCCCUUGACUUUGGGAUAACUAGGAAACUGGGGCUAAUACCGGAUAGGAGCUCCUGCUGCAUGGUGGGGGUUGGAAAGUUUCGGCGGUUGGGGAUGGACUCGCGGCUUAUCAGCUUGUUGGUGGGGUAGUGGCUUACCAAGGCUUUGACGGGUAGCCGGCCUGAGAGGGUGACCGGCCACAUUGGGACUGAGAUACGGCCCAGACUCCUACGGGAGGCAGCAGUGGGGAAUAUUGCACAAUGGGCGGAAGCCUGAUGCAGCAACGCCGCGUGCGGGAUGACGGCCUUCGGGUUGUAAACCGCUUUCGCCUGUGACGAAGCGUGAGUGACGGUAAUGGGUAAAGAAGCACCGGCUAACUACGUG